rnacentral:ncRNA from 2 species
UCGUCUUCAAAUUGCUCAGGUGCUCUUUUCAAUUGUAUUUUAUCAGUUGAAAAACAAGAGAUAAUCGGGAAGUUAGUGCAACACACUAGUGUUUAAUUCUAACGCUGCCCCCGCAACGGUAAUACUGAAUAUCAGUUAAGCCCGGAGACCGGCCUGUCAAUAUAUUACAAA